GGUUGGACAAUUGAAAUUGUGUCAGUUAAGAGUUAUUUAGCCACGACAAUAAUUUUGCUACCUUUAUAUUUUCCCCUUGAAAAAUUUAAGAAUGAGAUGUUCCUGAGUAAACAAAAAUGACAAUACGGUGCCACAGUAUCCUAGAAAGAGCAUUUUUAUUUUGACUUUCUUUGCAUUUUAUUGAAGGGUGUGUCACUUCAAUAUAGCGUGAUAUGGAUUGGCCUCUGGAAUAUGCAUGCAUUUUUUAUUGACCUUUUCAAACAGCCUUAAUGUUUGUGUCUGUUCGAAGUAGUACGUUCUCAAUUCCAACUGAAAGUGUCUUUCUAAUACAACACAGGGUACAUAUAACGUGUUCUCGUUUUCAUAUGAACAUGAUAUUUGUCACUGGACGUUAAACCCUAAUUCGUCAGUAUCAUCCAAUUGGUUCUUUUCUUCUAUUACUUAAUCAUAUGUUGUUUACAAACCAUUCUAAAGAAGUAAACGGAAAGGAACAAAUGCAGCUAGAUUUGGUUAUUUUAAGUUUCAGUUCAUUUUAUUACGUUUAGUUCCUAUCUUCAUAAGUGCAGAGGAGAACUACAGUUGUCUAUGGUGGCCGGUGAAGUCCAUUCGCGUUUUCGCGUUUUCACGUUUUCGCAUUUCAUAUUCUAUAGGGCGAAAACGCGACAUCGCGAAGGGAUAAGGCGAAAACGUGAAAAUGCGAAAUCGCGAAAAGGCGAAAUCGCGAAGUCGAAAACGCGAAAACGCGAAGUCGAAAACGCGAAACCGAUUUCGCGUUUUCGACUUCGCAAUUUCGCGUUUUCGCCAUAUAGAAUAUAAAAGGCGAAAACGCAAAAUGGCAUUAACCUGCCAC
rnacentral:lncRNA from 1 species